rnacentral:rRNA from 1 species
UACGUAGGUGGCAAGCGUUGUCCGGAUUUAUUGGGUUUAAAGGGUGCGUAGGCGGUUUUGUAAGUCAGUGGUGAAAUACUCUAGCUUAACUAGAGGGGUGCCAAUGAUACUGCAGAACUUGAGUACAGAUGAGGUAGGCGGAAUUGACGGUGUAGCGGUGAAAUGCAUAGAUAUCGUCAAGAACACCUAUAGCGAAGGCAGCUUACUGGGACGGUACUGACGCUGAGACGCGAAAGCGUGGGGAGCAAACAGG